rnacentral:lncRNA from 1 species
GGACUUGGAGGUUUGUCUAUUUGACUAUAAUGUGAAUUAGUCAAACCUUUAUGUGAGAUGGCAGGAUUUCCAUUAUGAAGCCGGACCUGUUAGAGCCAGUUGUGCCAGAAGCCAUAGCAGAAUGGAUAAAGAAACUAAUUUUCAGAAAGGUUAUGCAGCUUGUCCAAAGUCACACAGCUGUAAUGAACUGAAGCACGACAUGGACCAGGCACUGUGGAUCCAGUGUAUGUCCUCAGAAAUCAAUCCACUCCAGAGAGGAGCUCUGAAGAACUGGCCCAGAUAAAAGAAAGACUUUUCUAGAGCACAUGGAAUUGAUGCUAACAAGCAAAAUUUUCAUUGAGUCAUUGCUAUUGUUCUUAGAAAUCACAGAUGUUUGCAUGGGACUUUAGAGCUGAUCCAAGACAGCCGUCUCAUUUUUACAGACAAAGUAACCAAGAUUCCAAAAACCAAAUACCACAGAAUCAAAACAUGGUAAAAACAAGUUUUCUUUUGAAAAUGACUCUAGAGUCUUAGAGAAAGAGAGUUUUAAUUCCUCUUAAAGGUUUGGCCAGGCAUGGUGGUUCACACCUGUAAUCCCAGCACUUUGGGAGGCUGAGGUGGGCGGAUCACGAGGUCAGGAGAUCAAGACUGUUCUGGCUUACACGGCGAAACCGUCUCUACUAAAAGUACAAAAUAGCUGGGCAUGGUGGCGGGUGCCUGCAGUCCCAGCUACUUGGGAGGCUGAGGUGGGAGAAUGGCGUGAACCCGGGAGGCAGAGCUUGCAGUGAGCUGAGAUCACAUCACUGCACUCCAGCCUGGGCGACAGAGCAAGACUCCAUCUCAAAAGAAAAAAAAAAGAGUUCAUAGGCAAAAGAAUAAUAUUUUACAUUUAGAACUGUUAAGUAUUCAAUGGACAAAGGAAAAAAUCAUGGAAUCUUUCCAAUUUCCCUGACGAUUGAAAAGGUGCUUGACUAAAACAGAGGUUAUUAAUCUUGGAAUAGGUAGUUGUCUGUUGUUUUCCCUGCCCAGCUUCCAU